GGCUGCUUGGCUAAGGGGUACGGCGUCGCACUUGUACAAGCGCGCUUGACAGCUGCAUGCGAAGAUCAGGAGUUCAAAUCUCCUAGUAGCCU